CUGACUGUGGGCAAGGCAGGAAAACUCUAGCUACAUGACCCUGUGACAUUGGGAACCAAAAUGAAUUGUUUUCUCCCUUAAGUUGUUUCUACCAAGUAUUUGGGUCACAGCAACACAAAAAGUAACUAACACAAGAAUGGCAGCCCCAUGAGGUCUGUGAAUCAAGCCAGGCAUCUCCGUCAUUCUGCUCAUCACACCCCAUCUGACCAUGAAGUUCUGUUCAUCUACAUCAGGGCAUCUCAUAACACCCCAUCUGACCGUCAAGUUCUGUUCAUCUACAUCAGGGUGUCUGUUCAUAACACCCCAUCUGACCGUCAAGUUCUGUUCAUCUACAUCAGGGUGUCUGUUCAUAACACCCCAUCUGACCGUCAAGCUCUGUUCAUCUACAUCAGGGCAUCUCAUAACACCCCAUCUGACCGUCAAGUUCUGUUCAUCUACAUCAGGGCGUCUCAUUUGUCUUUCUACUUCUGCAUCUCAACUACUACGACCUUGAGAGUCCAAACCAUCUCUCACCUACAGGCCCCUAACAGAUCUCCCUGGUUCCUUCCCUGCCUUCUCCAACAUUCUCCAGACAGCUAAAAAGCUAAUCUGCUUAAAUUCCAUCUGUAACUACCCAUUUUCACUGGUUAAGAUCUAAACACCUAAGUAAGAUCCUUCAUGAUCUAACCUCACUUACCUUUCCAGGCCAGUCUCCACUCUUACAUCCCAUCUUACCUACUCAGGCCACACCUUCUCUCAGCUGUUAGUUCAUAUGCUCACUUCUUCCCUCCACACGCCUUUUGUCUCUCAGGCAUAUGCUUCCUCUGGCCAGCCCCAUCUCAUCUGCCACAGACAUCUGUUGUUUCUGCCUGCCAAGCAUCUUUCCUCUGGCCUCUUCUUAAAACCAUCUCUCCCUCAUUCUCACUGUAGGUGGUUUGACUUAAACUGCCAACUUCCGAGCAUCCCAGUCCAGGGCCAUGAAUGUGAACACAUGACACAGACCAUCAAGGUACUCUAUCCACAAUUCACCAACCCAUAACUCAAGUCAGACUUAAUCAGAAUUAAUCGGAAGGAGAUUUCUGGAAAUCCUGGAACAGAGACACUGUCAGUCAGAUGAUGAGUCAUAUCCUUGUUCUAAAUGCCGAAAGACAACUUUUACAUAUAUUGUUCUUCCUGAUUUUUUUGCCCUUCGGUUAAAGAUCACCAUGUCCACAAGCUCCUCCUAUCCAUGUUUUUCUCACCACUCAUCUACCCUUUUGCUGUUAACGCUAUUUUGAAAACAAACAUCCAGCCAGGAGAUGCUCCAACACUCCCAGCUUUUUCUGGGAGCCUGUUAGGAACAUAGCUCAGUCCCCAUCCCAGACCAAAAGGAUCAGAAUCUUCACUUCAACCUUGUCCUCACAUGAUUCCGCCACAUCUGAGGAGCAGCUGUUCACCCGCACAAAAUCUAGAGGCAUCUGUCCUGUUCAAAUUAUUGCUUAUUACCCAUUUGUUUCCUUGAGUUUGUUACAUCUGAACACAGGACUUUAUACAUCUAAUACAGACAGUGACUACUGUGUUACCUGAUAAAUUCACAGGAAAUCAGAUUACAUGCAUGCUGAAAAGUUGGUGGUAAAUCUGUGUUCCAAGUGACUGCUAAAGAACCCAUCAAUUGCCAACAGAAUCCAGACAAAGAAUACCUCAGGCAACAUGGAUAUUGCACCUAGGAACUGUCCUGGGUGACUAAGAUGAACAGCAAUGGUAUACACCUAAACUAAAUAAAUAAAGCACUGUUUUAAAGCUGCUGA